rnacentral:rRNA from 1 species
GACGAACGCUGGCGGCGUGCUUAACACAUGCAAGUCGAACGGAAAGGCCCUGCUUUUGUGGGGUGCUCGCGUGGCGAACGGGUGAGUAACACGUGAGUAACCUGCCCUUGACUUUGGGAUAACUUCAGGAAACUGGGGCUAAUACCGGAUAGGAGCUCCUGCUGCAUGGUGGGGGUUGGAAAGUUUCGGCGGAUGGGGAUGGACUCGCGGGUUAUCAGCUUGGUGGUGGGGUAGUGGCUGACCAAGGCUUUGGCGGGUCGCCGGCCUGGGAGGGUGACCGGCCACAAUGGGACUGAGGUACGGCCCAGACUCCUACGGGAGGCAACAGUGGGGAAUAUUGCACAAUGGGCGGAAGCCUGAUGCAGCAACGCCGCGUGCGGGAUGACGGCCUUCGGGUUGUAAACCGCUUUCGCCUGUGACGAAGCGUGAGUGACGGUAAUGGGUAAAGAAGCACCGGCUAACUACGUG